rnacentral:rRNA from 1 species
GAUGAACGCUGGCGGCGUGCCUAAUACAUGCAAGUCGAGCGAACGGACGAGAAGCUUGCUUCUCUGAUGUUAGCGGCGGACGGGUGAGUAACACGUGGAUAACCUACCUAUAAGACUGGGAUAACUUCGGGAAACCGGAGCUAAUACCGGAUAAUAUUUUGAACCGCAUGGUUCAAAAGUGAAAGACGGUCUUGCUGUCACUUAUAGAUGGAUCCGCGCUGCAUUAGCUAGUUGGUAAGGUAACGGCUUACCAAGGCAACGAUGCAUAGCCGACCUGAGAGGGUGAACGGCCACACUGGAACUGAGACACGGUCCAGACUCCUACGGGAGGCAGAAGUAGGGAAUCUUCCGCAAUGGGCGAAAGCCUGACGGAGCAACGCCGCGUGAGUGAUGAAGGUCUUCGGAUCGUAAAACUCUGUUAUUAGGGAAGAACAUAUGUGUAAGUAACUGUGCACAUCUUGACGGUACCUAAUCAGAAAGCCACGGCUAACUACGUG